GCGGCCGUAGCUCAACUGGUAGAGUAUUGGCCUUCCAAGCCAAGGGUUGCGGGUUCGAUCCCCGUCGGCCGCUCCA
rnacentral:tRNA from 2 species